UACGGGGGGGGCUAGCGUUGUUCGGAAUUACUGGGCGUAAAGCGCGCGUAGGCGGCUUUGUAAGUUAGAGGUGAAAGCCCAGGGCUCAACCCUGGAAUUGCCUUUAAGACUGCAUCGCUUGAACAUCGGAGAGGUAAGUGGAAUUCCGAGUGUAGAGGUGAAAUUCGUAGAUAUUCGGAAGAACACCAGUGGCGAAGGCGACUUACUGGACGAUUGUUGACGCUGAGGUGCGAAAGCGUGGGGAGCAAACAGG
rnacentral:rRNA from 1 species